rnacentral:rRNA from 1 species
GUUAAAAAGCUCGUAGUUGGAUCUCGGCGGGCAGGGGGUGGUUCGCUCUUCAGCGCUACUGCCCCGCUUUGCCCGUGUGAUUGGCGGAGGUUUCGGGGUGCUCUUCGUUGAGUGACUCGGAGCGCCGUCAGGUUUACUUUGAAAAAAUUAGAGUGCUCAAAGCAGGCUUUUCACGCUUGAAUAUUCGUGCAUGGAAUAAUGGAAUAGGAACUCGUUUCUAUUUUGUUGGUUUUCGGAAAUCGAGUUAAUGAUUAACAGGGACAAUUGGGGGCAUUAGUAUUCAGACGACAGAGGUGAAAUUCAUGGACCGUCUGAAGACUGACUACUGCGAAAGCAUUUGCCAAGAGUGUUUUCAUUAAUCAAGAACGAAAGUUAGAGGUUCGAAGGCGAUCAGAUACCGCCCUAGUUCUAACCAUAAACGAUGCCAGCUAGCGAUCUGCCGAGUUUUUUUUGUAGGCUCCGCAGGAAGCUUUCGGGAAACCAAAGCUUUUGGGUUCCCGGGGGAAGUAUGGUUGCAAGCUGAAAC